UUUUUGUGUCUUUAUUAAAAGAAAAGAAUAAUUUAUAUAACUAAUUAUGUAGAAAUGAUUAGAGGCGUUAGGGCCGAAACGAUCUCAGAUUGUUCUCAAACUUUAAAUGGGUACCUUCUUAUGAAGGUAUGAAGGUUGUGGUUGGGAUCUAAUGUGCCCAAUAGGCCAAUUUUGGUAAGCAGAACUGGUGCUGUUACGGUGUCAAAAUUAACAACCCAUGCAAAUACCAUGAAAGGCGUUGGUUGCUUCAAACAGCAAGACGCUGGAAAUGGAAUUCGCAAUCCGCUAAAGAGUGUGUAAAUUUAAAACUUUAGUGAGUAGGAGGGUACAAUAAUGAGCGUAGAAGUGUUUGGCCUAAGCCUGUAUGGAGCCGCCAUUGGUA
rnacentral:ncRNA from 1 species